CCCAGCUCCCAGCAUAUCGUCAUCAGCCACUCAGCCUGGGGAAAGUGACGGCAACAAGGCCAGGUCCAGGAAGGUGAUGACUCUGAUGACUCGUGGGCAAAGCACUAGCAGUGACCGUGUCAGGAGCUUCGAUGGAGCCUCCAGACAGCACGCAGAAACCGGUGAGAGAGGCGUACAUCAUAACACGUGAUUAUCCCCACAGAGGGCCCGAUCACUGUCACUCGGAGAAUGAGGAAAGCUGAUCUUCAUUCAGGAGGACCUGGGGCUACCCACCCUAGGCUGGAUACACAGAAGCAAAUCUGACUUCCCUGACAGCGACUUCUCGGCUCUCAGCAGAAAACUGGCGAGUUCUGCACAGAGUCAGCCCAUUCGAAAUCAUCGUCUCUGAGCACCUGCAGUCGAUAAUGUUCCCGGGCUGAGUCAGAGGAGCAUUUCCUAGUGCUUCUACAGCUUUCUAAUUGUAUCUGUUACUCAGAGUAAUUCUUCAAAGUUGCAAGACUGGAGGUGGCAAGCAGCUGGCGCGGAUGGAUGAGAGCAUGGUGUACUCUGUAACGUACAAGUGAAACUAUUUGAAAUAAGCUAAGGGGAUUCUCCCUCUGACGCUCCUUGCACUUCAUUUUUGUGAGGCAGCGCUAGCCUUUGCGCAUGCCCAGAGCUCCUACAUGCACGUUUUCAAGUGUAUGUAUGUGCCGUGCAUUGUGGGUGCCGCUGCAAUCACAGCCAGCAGAAACAAUCCGGGUAAGGUAAAAUGAAAUUCAGCUCAACUCCAGUCAGCUGGAACAGGGACAAAUCUUAUGGUGUCUGACGUCAAGUAAUUCAUUUCUUACACUUGAAACACAGUGAACUUUGGGGGAAAGUUUCCACAUGACAGUUACCCGAACAAAGCUUUAUAACAGCACUUCACACAUAUUAAAUCAAUUCUCA